rnacentral:rRNA from 1 species
GACGAACGCUGGCGGCGUGCUUAACACAUGCAAGUCGAACGGUGACGAUCAAGCUUGCUUGGUCUGAUCAGUGGCGAACGGGUGAGUAACACGUGAGUAACCUGCCCCAGACUCUGGGAUAACCCCGGGAAACCGGAGCUAAUACCGGAUAUGACACGCCCCUGCAUGGGGAGUGUGUGGAAAGUUUUUCGGUCUGGGAUGGACUCGCGGCCUAUCAGCUUGUUGGUGAGGUAAUGGCUCACCAAGGCGACGACGGGUAGCCGGCCUGAGAGGGCGACCGGCAACACUGGGACUGAGACACGGCCCAGACUCCUACGGGAGGCAGCAGUGGGGAAUAUUGCACAAUGGGCGAAAGCCUGAUGCAGCGACGCCGCGUGAGGGAUGACGGCCUUCGGGUUGUAAACCUCUUUCAGCAGGGAAGAAGCGCAAGUGACGGUACCUGCAGAAGAAGCACCGGCUAACUACGUGCCAGCAGCCGCGGUAACAC